rnacentral:lncRNA from 1 species
GACAACCAGCCUUGCUCACGAAGCGUCAGCCGUAUCCUUUCUGUGUGCAGUGGGGUGUGGGUUGUGUGGAGCCGCGGUGUCUGUGGAAUUCACAGGCUGGGGCCGGAAUCCAUGGCCCCCGUCGCCGCUGCCACCCCCCAGGCAUUUGUUUUAUUGCUCUUUUUUCACCAACUCAAACUGAAUGGUCACCUUAACAGUUUUAUUGAGGUAUAAUUUACACACCAUAAAAUUCACCUGCUUUAAGGAUACUAUUCAAUGAUUUUUAGUACAGUUACAAAGUUAUGCAACCAUCAUCAAAACCCAAUUUUAGAAUAUUUCAAUCACCCAAAAAAGAAAUAUCACACCCAUUUACAGUUUAUCCCCUUUCCUGCCCCCAGCCUUAGGCAACCACUAAUCUACUUUAUAUAUAGAUUUGCCUUUCCUGGACAUUUCACAAAAAUUGAUUUACGCAAUGAAUGAGUAAAACCGUCUUCCAAAGGAAGAGGGCCUCCCAAGGCAGGUGUGGGCAUGGGCUUGCCACAAUAUGUGGCAUUUUGUGCACUUAAUGUUAUUGAGGAUUAAUCUAUGUUGUAACAUGUGGCGGUAUUUUGCUCCUUUUCAUUGGCAUUCUCUUGGGGGCUUGUUUAUUUUUACAUGUAUUGUUUUCCACUAAAUGUACUUAAAUAUAUAAAUUUGUCUGUAAGUGCUGCUAAAACCCAGCUAAGCUGUGCCCCACCAACUUUAAUGUAGUUUUUCCACUAUUCAGAAGUAAAUAUUUCUCACAUUUCUUUAUGACGUCCUUCUCCACCGAAAGUUACCUACUGUAAACUAAAAAUAAAAUCCUAAGUCCCCCACCAACUGAAUGGAUGCCCCCCUUGGCCAAGGGGACACCAGAAAAAACUUAGGAAUGGAGUUCCAGCCAUGGCAGGACAGGAGGUCCCCUUUGUAGUUUAGACACAACAGCUGACCAGCAUUGAUGUUAAAAUAGAGAGCAUAAGACUGACAGAACAGACUUUUGUGGCAAUAAGAUACAAAAUUAUAGGCUGGGCGCGGUGGCUCACGCCUGUAAUCCCAGCACUUUGGGGAGGCUGAGGCGGGCAGAUCACUUGAGGUCAGGAGUUUGAGACCAGCCUGGCCAACAUGGCAAAACCCUGUCUCUACUAAAAAUACAAAAAUUAGCCGGGCAUGGUAGUGCACAUCUGUAAUCCCAGCUACUUGGGAGGCUGAGGCAGGAAGAUCACUUGAACCUGGGAGGCGAAGGUUGCGGUGAGCCAAGAUCACGCCAUUGCACUCCAGCCUGGGCAACAGAGUGAGAUUCCAUCUAAAAAAAAAAAAAAAAAAAGAUACAGGCCAGGCCAGGCAAGGGUUAAGUCACCCACCCCUACACUUAAAGAAUAAACUAAGUUCUAACAGCCACAAGGUUUUUCGUUUUCUCUAGCAGAACAAUAAGCACUGGCCUUGAGAUAAGCAAUAUGAAAAUAAUUGCAGCACAUCCACUAACUGACCACUGUUUCCAUAAGCCAUAACUACAGCUUGGACUGGACAAGAGACUGAUAUCAAUAAUUUUCUCCUGAUAGUAAGACCACCGACCACGGACUGGUUCUGGCCAGUUUACAGAGGCUGUGCACUUGAGCGCUUUUGUGUCCUGAAAAGACCUUUUGACAUCUAGGGCCUAAUUGUAAUAUAUUUAUUUAUUUAUUAUGAUUAUUAUUUUUGAGAUGGAGUCUCGCUGUUGCCCAGGCUGGAGUGCAGUGGCACAAUCUCGCCUCACUACAACCUUUGCCUCCUGGGUUCAAGCAAUUCUCAUGCCUCAGCCUCCUGAGUAGCUGGGAUUACAGAUGCGUGCCACCACACCCAGCUAGUUUUUGUAUUUUUAAUAGAGACAGGGUUUUGCCAUGUUAGCCAGGCUGGCCUCAAACUCCCGACCUCAAGUGAUCUACCUGCCUCAGCCUCCCCAAAGUACUGGGAUUACAGGCGUGAGCCACUGCGCCUGGCCUCAUAAUUGUAAUACAUUUAAAUGUUAAGUGUCCACUCCAGCCGGGCGCGGUGGCUCACGCCUGUAAUCCCAGCACUUUGGGAGGCCGAGGCGGGUGGAUCACCUGAGGUCAGGAGUUUGAGACCAGCCUGGCCAACAUGGUGAAACUCCAUCUCUACUAAUAAUACAAAAAUUAGCUGGGCGUGGUAGUGCACAUCUGUAAUCCCAGCUACUUGAGAGGCUGAGGCAGGAGAAUCACUUGAACCCGGGAGGCCGAGGUUGCAGUGAGCCGAGAUCGCGCCAUUGCACGCCAACCUGGGCAAGGGCCUGUCUCAAAAAAAAAAAAAAAAAAGUGUCCACUCCAGGGUGAACAUGAGUCUCCAAAAUUUUAAUAUAAACAAAACGUGAAAUCUUGUUCUUCCACACAUUCCCCACACAAGUGCUGCCAAGAUCAUCUGAAAAGUUUUAAUCUACAAAGAAAGGUCCAGGACCAUUGUCCAUGGCUCUGCCCCUCCUACCCCCGGCUUUUCAGUUCCUUAUCUCCCCAUCACAAUGCCGUCCUUCCCCACUUCACCGUGCCCCGAUGUCCCUGACAACCCUCUGCAACUAGUCAAAGCCCCGGACUACCGUUGGGCCCACAAAUUCAUGUCUUUCCUGCUUGCUUGCUCCACCAAUCAAGCCACUUCUCUUUCUAGGCCUCCUCAAGACCUCCUUCAAUUUCUGCCUAUCCAUCAACUCAUUUCUGCCUCCAUUUUCCUCUUUAACCAGCUUAAAUGUCAUGUUCCAUCAUUUCAAUCACUUCCUUGCAAACAUCCUAAAAUCCUUGGCUCUCCCUUUGUCCUCAGCACCAACCUAUCAAAACUCCAAACAUGUUCAGGCAUGGUGGCUCACGCCUGUAAUCCCAGCACCGAGGCCAACGCGGGAGGAUCACUUGAACUCAGGAGUUCGAGGCCGCCUGAGCAACACAAAGAGACCUUGACUGUACUGGGGAAAAAAAAAAUAGCCAGGUAUAGUGGUGUGAACCUGUAGUCCCAGCUACUCAGGAGGCUGAGGUGGGAGGAUUUCUGGAGCCCUGGAGAUCGAGGCUGCAGUGAGCUAUGAUUGCACCACUGCAUUCCAGCCUGGACAACAGAGCGAGACUGUUUCUAUUUUUUUUUUUUUUUUUUUGAGACGGGGUCUUGCUCUGUCACCCAGACUGGAAUGCAGUGGUGCGAUUUCGGUUCACUGCAAGCUCCGCCUCCCAGGUUCACGCCAUUCUCCUGCCUCAGCCUCCGGAGUAGCUGGGACUACAGGCACCCGCCACCUCGCCCGGCUAAUUUUUUGUAUUUUUAUUACAGACGGGGUUUCACUGCAUUAGCCAGGAUGCUCUCGAUCUCCUGACCUCAUGAUCCGCCCGCCUCGGCCUCCCAAAGUGCUGGGAUUACAGGCAUGAGCAACCGUGCCCAGCCUGACUCUGUUUCAAGAAACAAAACAAAACAAACCCUCCAAACUCUAGGUGAACCUAACUAUGCCUCUCCUUUAUGCUUACAGCCAGGCCAGGAAGCAUUUUUUAAGAACUACUGGGGGUGUAAGUAACACUAUAAAUUCAGUCACCAACCUCAAUGCCGUUAGACAAUUCCAGUGCAUUUUGAUGUUUAGUUGCACUGUCCUCAGACUUCAAGCUUCCCUUCUAGCUCCUCGCUCUCAGCAGAUCACCUAAUGUUAUAGCUGCCUAAUCCUCCUUUCCUUCUCACUGCUGAAAGAUGUUCCUUCUGUGCUCAGAAUUCCAUCCCUCCAGGCUUCUCUGGAACUUUGCACUAUUCAUUGGCAGGAGAUGAGACUGUGUGGGGGGAGAGGAGUUAGGAGAUGGUUGCAGGGGUACUUGUUUUCAAAUGCAAAUAAGGUUAUACUUCUCCCCAACAAGCAAUCCUUUGAUACCUUUCCAUUGCUCUGAAGAUUUUUUUUUUUUUUAAAUGGGGUCUUGCUCUGUUGCCUGGAGUGCAACAGAGUGCUAGAGUGCGGUGGUGCAAUCUUGGGUCACUGCAACCUCUGCCUCCCGGGUUUAAGCAAUUCUUCUGCCGCACCCUCCUGAGUUGCUGAGACUACAGGCACACGUCACCACACCCAGUUAAUUUUUGUAUUUUUAGGAGAGACCGGGUUUCACCAUGUUGGCCAGGCUGGCCUCGAACUCUUAACCUCAAGUGAUCUGCCUGCUUUUGGCUCCCAAAGUGCUGGGAUUACAGGCCUGAGUCACCACGCCCAGCUUGAGGUGGGGGUUCUACUCCAGAUGGGUUGCUCAGGGAAGGUCCUCUGAGGAGGUGGCAUCACCUGAGUCCUGAAUCACAGGCAUGCACCAGCACACUCAGCUAAUUUUUAAACUUUUUGUAGAUAUGAGGUCUCACUCUAUUGCCCAGUCUGGUCUCAAACCCUAGGCUCAAGCGAUCCUCCUGCCUCAGCCUCCCAAAGUGCUGGGAUUAUAGGUGUGAGUCAUUGUGCCUGGCCAAGAUGAUUAAUUUGAAUGUCAUAUUUAAUUAAUUUGCUUAAUUGUAGUAAUCUUUUUUUACCUGAACCCAUAGAAUUUUGCAGGCACCAUCUGGCCAAGUUUCAGGAGUCAAUAAUACCUUGGAAAAAUUUAAAAGUUCAUUAUAUGGUUUACUUUUGUUAUCAAAUAACUACAUUUUUUGUAAAAUUUAUUAGACAAUCCAAUAAUUUUUCUUCCAGAUUUAAUACUACUCUAGUGUUCUCUGUUUUCUCCUCCAGAUCCAUUAUUUAUUCUUCUCCAUCUUGUUCUGUGUUCCUGGAAGCCAACCUUUAUAAGCUGCAGGAAAUGGAUUUCCUACUCUCCACCUUCUGAUUGGGCUUGACCAACGGGGAGCACUGGCAGAAGACAAGCAUGGGAGGAAAAAGAGAUCAGGAGAUGAUGUCUCCCUGCCUAGGCUGAUUUGGUCUUAUUUCUGAG